rnacentral:pre_miRNA from 1 species
UUGGGUGAAAUCAAUGUGGUUAUCAUACAUUGGAAAUGGAUCCUACACAAAGUGGUGAGAUCCACAUAAGUUUCACCCAA